GAAGACUGUAAAUGGCAAAUAAGAAACUAAAAUGAUGAUGACUAAUGUAAAAGAAAACAAAGAAAUAUGAGAUGAGAAGUAAAAUAUUUAUAUAUAGUUUACUGAAUAGAAAAUACAUAAAAGUAACUUAGAGUAACUAUUUUGAAAUGUAAUAUGUCUUAGAAGUUAACGUUCAGGCGGUUCAAAUUCAUUUAACGUAAAAGAGUAGGAAUAAAUACCCUUGUUUAUAUGAGAAUCGUAAAAUAAUGCCUUAAACUUUAGCCUUCAAAAGAUAAAAGUACAUAAAAAAAUAAAAUCUUAAAAAGAGGUUGGUUGUUUAAAGACUAUAAAUAAAAAAAGAAGCAGAAAAUGUCGAGAUACGACAGUGUCCUAUAAGGAAUUAAUAUAGAUGAAUAAAUAAAGAGAAAUUUAAAGAGAAAUGCACGUGUAAAAAAGAAUAAAAUGUUGGUUGAUUGUGAAAGUUUUUAAUGGUUCUAUAGCGAUUACGAUAAAUGUUGAGUAAAACAUAUAUGUUUUAAGGUUCCCGUAUGUAAGAAUUUAAUGUUAGUUUAAUCAUAAGAAUUAAUAGUUGACGUCCUGAUUAAUUAAGUGCUAAAUGUGUUGACCUAGCUAGUCAUCAUGUAAAAUCUUGAUUAUAGCAAACAUAAUGUAUUCUAGCAUAAGCAAAUCAUUAACCAUAAUGUAAAAUCUUAACUGUAAUCAAAUGUUUUAGAAAAUUAUCCAUUGUAAAACAAACAACAAAUCCGACUAAAGAAAUAUAAAAGAAAAUGAGGGUAUGACUUGCGGUAGUUCUGGAGUCGGAGCAAAUUUUAAGUACCCAAGAAAAUGAGCAUACUCCAGAGAGAGGAAAUGACUCGGGUAUGUUUGGAGUUCGAGCAGACUACCAAGAAAAGCGGGCUUACCACAUAUAAGUUGUAGAGAAACGAUAAUAAUAAUGAUAAUAAAACAAAACACCAACGCUCUUACUAUAAAGAUGAAGAGAUAGAAAAAUGUAAAAUAUUAAAGAAUAAAAUUGUUUUAUUAAUAGGAAAAAUAAGAAUAAGAAUAUCUUAAACGCAAUUAGUCAUCUUGGUCAUAACAACUUUAUAACCAAAACAUCUAAUAUAAACUAAUCAUAAGCAACAAAGUCAAAUAGUCAAAUCCAGUAAAGAGAAUAUUAAAAAAAAAAGUUUUUAAAAUUUAAACAAGUUUUAAAAGAAAUGAAUUCAAUUGUAAAAUUGCGGAGCAAUUUCUUCGAACAACAGGG
rnacentral:lncRNA from 1 species